UGAUAACAACAAUAAAGACUCUCUACUCAUCUUGCGUUAUAGGAUACGUCAAAUUUCAUCGUCAUUGUUUUAAGUCCAAAACUUCUGAUUGUGAUACAGACUGUCUGAACCCAUCGAACAGGAGCAAAAUGAUUACAUCUCGUUUAGUUGCCGUUUCCCGUAGCGCUCUCAUUCCGAGCCGCUGCUACAGUUCGACCAGUGGAGGAUUGCCCCAAGUCCGCGUUUCUUUCCCUGAAAAAGUCGUCCACGGUCUUGCUAUUUUCUUCGGAGUCUUGGCAUACCCAACCUGGGUAGUAUCCCACAUGCGGGAAUAUAAGAACCAAUCACGGUAAACGGUUUUUUGGCCAUGUAAACCGCAGAAUUGUUCAACGCUAGAGGUUAUGCAUUGAUUCCAUGUAUCAGCGGUGCGAGUCGCUACGAUCAUUCGCAUCCAAAUAAAACACUGCAAGAGCAAAAGUGUCUAGCUGAAGAUGAAAUAAAGCAAAAAUAUAAAAAAAUCACUGGUUUG